AAAUAAUAAUAAUAAUACUACAGUAAAUAAAGGUAAUUGAGAUUACAAAGAUCGUAUGUUUAAAUGAUGGUAAAGAAAGCUCUACCUACUGAUAGUGGAGAGAGCCACAGAAUUCAGACCGUGUUUAGAGAUUUAUAUUAUCAUAUUUAUAAUUCUGUGUGCUCAUGCUUUUUUUUGAAGUCAAAACUAAUCUAAAAUUCUCUAAUAUAUGUAGGUAACUAACCUAAUGUAUUCAUAUUUCAGAGGUCAUAGAAUAAUUAUAAACGGCCAGACGAAAUUACUUUAAUAUUAACAUAAUAUUAUAUCCAGUUUUGACUUGGCUAUCAUAUCAUUAGUAUUUCUCACAUAUUCAGUUAGUAUUAAUUUGACAUGGUGCAAGCUAUU